rnacentral:ncRNA from 1 species
AGGCCGAGAGGCGUAGUCGAUGGGAAAUUGGUUAAUAUUCCAAUACUUCUGUGUAAUGCGAUGAGAGGACGGAGAAAGUUAAGUCAGCCUGGCGUUGGUUGUCCAGGUGAAAGGCAGUAGGCAUGCAUCUUAGGCAAAUCCGGGGUGCUCUAUGCUGAGAGCUGAUAGCAAGCUAGUUUACUAGCGAAGUGGCUGAUACUAUGCUUCCAGGAAAAGUCUCUAAGCUUCAGUUACACAGGAAUCGUACCCUAAACCGACACAGGUGGUCAGGUCGAGUAGACCAAAGCGCUUGAGAGAACUCUGCUGAAGGAACUAGGCAAAAUGGUACCGUAACUUCGGGAGAAGGUACGCUGCUGACGGUGAUAGGACUUGCUCCUUGAGCUAUUGGCAG